UUAAAAGGAAGUUAGGUCACAGGGGGCGUGGCCUUGAAGGGGCCACUGUGAGCGGGGUCCUUCCUCCUCCUCUAAGCUUCCCGGCCAUCGUGAGGCGAACAGGGCUGCUCCUGGCCGCUGUGCUGCCACAGACCCAAAGCAGCGGGGCCUGGCAGCCACGGACGGAAACUUCUGAAGCUGACAGCCCAAACCAACCUGUCCUCCUUUACGUUGUUUCUUUAGGUUGCUAAGAUCAUAUAUAUGCGAGCAGUACCUCGUAGGACCGCUGGCGAGGCUUAGAGCACAGCACAUGCUACGGAGGACACAUUUCAUGGAUAUGCAGAGAGCUCCCCAUUAUACAGAUAGAUGGGUGCACUGAGGCCUGGCAUGGUUAAGGUGACAGAGAGUUGACCCGAGAAGCUGAGGCUAAAAAUGAGUUUAAAAGGAUUCUGCAGCACACAGUUUACAACUGCAGAAGCAACCCACCCAUUUACCAACAGAUGAAUGGAAAACCAAACCAAAGCAUAAACCCCAUAUAAGAGGGCACCUCUGUUCCCACUGUCUGUCUGAGGAUGUAGGUCCCUUGAGGACACAGAGAGGCGUAUCGACACACGCUGGAUCCGCAGCAUUGACCUAUGAAUUCCUGUGGACACAUGGGGAGCGCGGGGUCCAGGGGGGAUGAGCCGAACCAGGAGUCCAGCAGUGCGGAGGCCUCCGCUAGCUCCCUCAUGCUUUCUGACCUCAGUCUCUCCAAUAGCCAAUAAAGACUGCACAAGUCCCU